AAGAUUUUAAGUUAAAUAAAACUAUUAACCUUCAAAGUUAAAUAAAUCAGAUUGAUAAAUCUUA
rnacentral:tRNA from 2 species